UUCUCCGGUGUCUUUCAGAUCACUUUCAAAAUUAUUAGUAACUAGGAAGGAUCGUCCCUCCACUCGGUAAGGCUUGGGACGACUUCCUUCUCACAUAGGUCUAAGGACAAUCUUAUGCCCAUUUUUGGUGAAGGCAUAAGUACUGUCUCGACCCCUAUGGAUGGCGUUUACAUCGAACUGCCAAGGUCUUCCUAGUAGAAUAUAACAGGCGUUCAUAUCUACUAUAUCACAUAAUAUCUCAUC
rnacentral:lncRNA from 1 species